rnacentral:tRNA from 1 species
AUUUAAAUAGCUUAAAUAAAGCAGCACUUUGAAGCAGUGAAGAUGUUUAUACUUUAAGUA